rnacentral:misc_RNA from 1 species
CAGAUCGAGCAUGGCAAGCCGCUGACGGCCCGCGAUGUCGGCAAGCUUCUGGCUCGGGAGCGUCCAGUCCAGGAAGCGCUCGUCAUCCUUCCCUUCAAGCUCCCAGAUCUCGCGCGAGUCCGGAUGCACCUGCGCCGGACUGGGAAUCGCCAUCACAGCGAAGCCCGCGCCGGUGACCGUGACGCCGCGCUGGAGCUCGCGAAGCAACGGCUCGGUGAUGUUCCAGGAGCGUUGUAUCGUCGGCGACGACUCCCGUCGAAAGACCCCAAGGCCGCGUCGGGAAGGCUCGCCGGACCGGUCGCCCUUCCAGAUGUCUCGGAGAUGGUGUGGCCAGACCUCGACGAGGUUGACCAGCU